UACGGGGGGUGCAAGCGUUAUUCGGAAUCAUUGGGCGUAAAGGGCGCGUAGGCGGUCUUUUAAGUCAGAUGUGAAAGCCCUCGGCUUAACCGAGGAAGUGCAUUUGAUACUAAAAGACUUGAGUAUGGGAGAGGGAAGCGGAAGUCCUGGUGUAGCGGUGAAAUGCGUAGAUAUCAGGAGGCACACCGGUGGCGAAGGCGGCUUCCUGGACCAAUACUGACGCUGAGGCGCGAAGGCGUGGGGAGCAGACAGG
rnacentral:rRNA from 1 species